UCUGUGGCUGACAUUUUGGGGAGUUAUCCAGAUGUGUAAGUUUGACACAUGUCUGAUUAUCUACAUUUCUUUAAAAAGUCCAAUAUCACAGGUAAUUUCAGGUUUUGUAUAGAAUGAGCUGAAGAGCUGAAGUCACUCAGUCGUGUCUGACUCUUUGCGACCCCAUGGACUGUAGCCCCCCAGGCUCCUCGGUCCAUGGGAUUUUCCGGGCAUGAAUACUGGAGUGGGUUGCCAGAAUAGUUCACACUAAAUAAUGGAAAAGCUGCUCUUUUGAUUCUGAAAUUUAACCUCAUUUUUUACUCCUAUGAAUAAUUAUUCAUAGUCAGCUGAGAGUUCCUUUUCCAGCAUGAUUUGACAGAUGAAUGCUGGGUGUUGAUGUAUUAAUUACGUGCAAGCUUCUUGAUCAGUUUGUUGUCUUCAGUACACUGCACAGGUCCUCUGUGAUCUAGACCACCCUGUGAACUUAGGCACCUUCCACGGGGCAGAGAAGUCAGCAUAGCCCUGGAAAGUGAAUUAAUCAUGUGUUCUGAAUUAUUGUUUUUCGUGUUACCCAUUCAAAAGUGCCAAAUAAAAGCCCCCCUGUUUAAAGCAAAACUUGAAAAAUAAAAUUUGAAUGUGGCCCAGAAUAAGGAAUAUAAUGGAAUAUAAUCUAUUAAUUCUACACACCCUUUUAGAUUUGUAAUGUUUAAUCAGAGGUAUACUUUAGUAUCAUCUUAAGAGCUUUUUCAAAAUAUACAUGUCUGAGCUCCUUUCCUACAGGAUCUGAUUUAGUGGAGCUGAGGUGGAGAGGCCACGCAGGUCCAUUAGAAAAAAAGUUUUCCAGGUGAUUACGACAUGUCCCCAGGUUAAGAAUCUGCUUCACAAGAUUGGCCAUAUGUUGGUAGCUGUUGAUAAUCUUUACCAAAGGUGCUGUUGUAUCUGUGGGGUUGCUUUAUCAGUGGUUCAUGUCCAUUUUAAUAGAUAUUGCCACAUUGUUUCCAAAAUUUCUGCAAUAACACCAUCUCUACCAGCCUGUACUGUUCUUCCACAUAAGCAAGAGGGGCUCCUGCCCUGGGCCCUGCACUUUAGAAGACCCUUGUAUCACAAAUGGGCUUCCCCAAUGGCUCAGUGGGUAAAGAAACCACCUACGGCCUACAAUGCAGGAGAUGCAGGUUUGAUCCCUGGGUUGGGAAGAUCCCCGGAGGAGGAAAAUGGCAGUCCACUCCAGUCUUCUUGCCUGGAGAAUCCCAUGGACAGAGAAGCCUGGCGGGCUGCAGUCCAUGGAUGGAGUUGCAAAGAGUCGGACACAAUUAAGCAACUUAGCCCACAGGCAACAGCAUAGUGCAAAUACACAAAAUAAAGUUGGUUUAUUGCAGACCCGUGGGGCACCUGUCACUCAGCCAUGGCACAGCGUUGCCCGCUGCCCUCAACAUCCGCUCUUGUGACUGAUAUCAUUCAGCCCCCAGGGAAGUGCUUCUCUGCAUCUCUUGCUCUGUCUCUUGGAAGUAAAGGCCACCUGAGUGUAAAAGCUUGUGGAUUAUACCACUGCUGACAUCAGAAAUAGACUCCUGCUUUGGAGUGUGGGGGAAGAACUGAACAGCAGAAGGACUUAGAUUAUUGAAAAUGUGUACAAGUCACGAUUUUGAUAGAAAAAGAAUACUAAAGUGGAACUCACAAAAGAAAACUGAAAGGAAAAAAGGAAUAAAAAAAAUCUUCAAAGAAAUGGUCUGCUUUAAAAGUAAGCAGUCUUCUUCUAGGAUGACCCACAUAAAAUUCACAAAGAGAACAUUACAGAUUCUUUGUUCAAUGAAGAUUUAAUUAUGUAUCAAAACAAUGAAAAUUAGAAAUAUUCUUGCCAAAUCCACAACUUGAACAGUUCAGAUAAAUCCUGACAGCUUCAUGUUCUUUACUAAAGGAAGAUUUAAUUGCUAAUCACAAAGAAUCAUACAGCAGAAAAGACAUGUGCAGUUAUUGGAAUUGGAGGGGAAAGGCUGAAUAAACAGCAGACAGUAGAUAACCAGAAAAGGCAAAGGUAAAAAACAUAGAUGUAAAAAAAAAAAAAAAAUAGAUGUAGUGUUCUUGAAAGAAUAAUAUAAUAUCUGGGACUUCCCUGGUGGUCCAGUGGUUAAGACUUCGCCUUCCAAUGCAGCCAAAAAGUCAAAGCAUAAAACAGAAGCAGUGUCAUAAUAAAUUCAAUAAAGACUUUAAAAACAGUACACAUCAGGAAAAAUCUUUAGAAAACUAAUAAUAUUUGGCCAAGUAUAACAGUGCUUUUAUGACCUCAUCACAUAGUGUUUAUUAAAAAAACAGCGGGAGGGCUUCCCUGGUGGCUCAGUGGUGAUGAAUCCGCCUGCCCAUGCAGCAGACAUGAGUUCGAUCCCUGAUCUGGGACGGUCCCACAUACCGUGGAACAACUUAGCCCGUGCACCUCAGCUGUUGAGCCAGUACUCUAGAACCUGGGAGCCACAGCUGUUCAACCCAUGUGCCACAGCUGCUGAAGCCGCGUGCCCUGAAUCCAUGCUCCACAACAAGAGAAGUCACUGCAAUGGGAAGCCCUUUCACCACAAGAAAGAGAUGCUCCCCCCAAUCCACAACUGGAGAAAAGCCUGUGCAGCAACACAGACCCAGCACAGCUAAAAAUAAAUAAAUUUAAAAAUAAAAAUUUUUUUAAUGGGACAUCUCCAGGCUUAGUAAACAUUAUUUCAAAAUUUGAUAAAAUGCCAAAUGUAAUUAGGGGGAAAAAACUUAAGAUGAAUAUCUAGGAGAGGGAAUUCAGAUAGGUUCGUUUAAUGGGUAAUAAAGAGAGAGAUGAAAUCAUAUAUGAAAUUUAAAAAAACUCACUUCCACUAGAAUGUACCAUGAUCAGAAGAUAUGUUGAAAAAACAAGGCAAGCCUGUAAUAAUGAAGCUAACAUGGUGGGUACAUAAAAGGUGUGUAAGUACGAAGUUGGGCCAAGAGUCCAGAAGUGUUCUGUGUGACAUGUCCAGCUCACAGUGAAUUUCCUUCUAAGAGACGAGCCCUCAACUGCUCCAAUACUGAAAGUGAUGUGGGACAGCAGAGGGUCCACUGCGAGAUAUUCUAGAUGUGGCCAAAGCUGGAAAGUCUUGAUUAGACUCACAUCUGACCUUACAACAGACUUUUAUACCAACUAAAUGCUGUCAACAAAGGUCCGUCUGGUCAAGGCUGUGGUUUUCCCAGUGGUCAUGUACGGAUGUGAGAGUUGGACUGUGAAGAAAGCUGAGCGCUGAAGAAUUGAUGCUUUUGAACUGUGGUGUUGGAGAAGACUCUUGAGAGUCCCUUGGACUGCAAGGAGAUCCAACCAGUCCAUCCUAAAGGAGAUCAGUCCUGGGUGUUCAUUGGUAGGACUGAUGCUGAAGCUGAAACUCCAAUACUUUGGCCACCUGAUGUGAAGAGCUGACUCAUUGGAAAAGACCCUGCUACUGGGAAAGAUUGAGGGCAUGAGGAGAAGGGGACGACAAAGGAUGAGAUGGUUGGAUGGCAUCACCGACUCAAUGGACAUGGGUUUGGGUGGACUCUGGGAGUUGGUGAUGGACAGGGAGGCCUGGCGUGCUGUGAUUCAUGGGGUCGCAAAGAGUCCGACACGACUGAGUGACUGAACUGAACUGAAAUGCUGUGAAAGUAAUCAAACUAAGUAAGAAGAGUUCAGCAAAAAUUACAGAAGUUCCUCAGAGAACAAAUCAUGGACUUUGACAGAAUAUGAAAUGAAUUUUGAAUUUUCAUGAUCUACAGUUAUUUAGUCUGAACCAUUCCUCUCUAUUGAUAAGCUUAACAGAAGCUUUAAAAAAAAAUCUGUUUGGCUUUUACACUUAUUAAAGGAUUAGAAAUCUCUUUUAAAGUUUAGAGAAACAGAGCUAAAAGUGCAUGUGAGAUAUGCAAGAAAAAUGAAAUCCUCAUAAAAUAUAAGGAAAUUGAAAUAAGGGAAAAUAUUUGCCUAACUUGAAGGAGAAGAUGCAUGUACAAAUGAUCCUGAAACCAGUUUCUAUGGAGACUGUUAUUCUGUUUGUUGUAAAUUGUUGAAGUGUAAGUAUAAUUUGAAGAGAGAGCUGAAGAAAAUUAAGCAACGUACUACGAUUUUCAAUUUUCUUUACACCACCAUUGAAAUUUGAAAGAAGAAUUUAAGAUUGUCUGCAUGGAUCGAGACACUGCUUAAGAGAUGACAGAAGUGACUGUAAUAAAGUGAUUAUGAUUAAAAUGUUCAAAUUAAAAUAUUUAGUGAAAUCUCCUUGUUGACAGCUUAUUCGCAGCCUCAUAUAGCAUUUGAGUGCAGUAAUGUAAAAAUCAGGAUUCAUUUCCAAAGCUAAGUAUUACUUUAAGAGUUUUGUAUAUAAUUCCAGUGCUACUGCCUCAGCAGAGUGAAGCUUCUCCAAGUUAAAAUUAAUUAAAAACUUGUUAAAGAAUUAUUAAUACAUUGAGUCAAGAGAAGUUGUGUUAUUUGGCGCUUUGUCAACAGAAUACAUGUUACAUGAAAAUGUUGAUUGUAAGAACAUGGUCCAUGCCCCCUGGGAUGAAAGCAAGGAAAAUCAGUUUUAUGGAAUAAAUGCAUUAUAAUUUAUGAUUGCA